rnacentral:rRNA from 2 species
UUUGAUAAAAAUAUAAAAGGUCCAGCCUGCCCAGUGACCUAGUUCAACGGCCGCGGUAUCCUAACCGUGCGAAGGUAGCGUAAUCACUUGUUCUUUAAAUGAGGACUAGUAUGAAUGGCACCACGAGGGUUAAACUGUCUCCUUUUUCUAAUCAGUGAAACUAAUCUCCCCGUGAAGAAGCGGGGAUUACCAUAUAAGACGAGAAGACCCUAUGGAGCUUAAAACAAAUUAACACCUGCUUCCAUCUAUCUUUAUUCCUGAGCUAACACAUAAAAUACAGCAUUAUUGAUUAAUAGUUUUCGAUUGGGGUGAUCACGGAGUAAAAAUCAACCUCCACGACGAAAGGGCCACUUCCCUGAGCUAAAAGCUACAACUUUAAGCACUAAAAAAAUUAACGCACUUUGACCCAAAUUUUUGAGCAACGAAC